CCUACGUGAGGCAGCAGUGAGGAAUAUUGGUCAAUGGCCGAGAGGCUGAACCAGCCAAGUCGCGUGAGGGAAGACGGCCUACGGGUUGUAAACCUCUAUUGGCGGGGAGCAAAGAGAGUCACGUGUGACUCAUUGAGAGUACCCGAAGAAAAAGCAUCGGCUAACGCCGUGCCAGCAGCCGCGGUAAUACGGAGGAUGCGAGCGUUAUCCGGAUUUAGUGGGUUUAAAGGGUGAGCAGGCGGGGGUGCAAGUCAGCGGUCAAAUUGCGGGGCUCAACCCCGUACUGCCGUUGAAACUGCAUCCCUUGAGUGCGCGAGAAGUAUGCGGAAUGCGUGGUGUAGCGGUGAAAUGCAUAGCUAUCACGCAGAACUCCGAUUGCGAAGGCAGCUUGCUGCAGCGGAACUGACGCUGAUGCUCGAAAGCGCGGGUAUCGAACAGGAUUAGAUACCCCGGUAGUC
rnacentral:rRNA from 1 species